rnacentral:rRNA from 1 species
UACGUAGGGGGCAAGCGUUGUCCGGAAUCAUUGGGCGUAAAGCGCGUGUAGGCGGCCCGGUAAGUCCGCUGUGAAAGUCGGGGGCUCAACCCUCGAAUGCCGGUGGAUACUGUCGGGCUAGAGUGCGGGAGAGGCGAGUGGAAUUCCUGGUGUAGCGGUGAAAUGCGCAGAUAUCAGGAGGAACACCAAUGGCGAAGGCAGCACUCUGGGACGUGACUGACGCUGAGACGCGAAAGCGUGGGGAGCAAACAGG